ACGGGGUGCAGCAGGCGCGAAACCUCCGCAAUGUGAGAAAUCGCGACGGGGGGAUCCCAAGUGCCAUUCUUAACGGGAUGGCUUUUCUUAAGUGUAAAAAGCUUUUGGAAUAAGAGCUGGGCAAGACCGGUGCCAGCCGCCGCGGUAACACCGGCAGCUCUAGUGGUAGCUGUUUUUAUUGGGCCUAAAGCGUUCGUAGCCGGUUUGAUAAGUCACUGGUGAAAUCCUGUAGCUUAACUGUGGGAAUUGCUGGAGAUACUAUUAGACUUGAGACCGGGAGAGGUUAGAGGUACUCCCAGGGUAGAGGUGAAAUUCUGUAAUCCUGGGAGGACCGCCUGUUGCGAAGGCGUCUAACUGGAACGGUUCUGACGGUGAGGGACGAAAGUUAGGGGCGCGAACCGGAUUAGAUACCCGGGUAGUCCUAACUGUAAGCGAUGCGGACUUGGUGUUGGGGUGGCUUUGAGCUGCUUCAGUGCCGAAGGGAAG
rnacentral:rRNA from 1 species